CCCUUAGAUGUCCUGGGCCGCACGCGCGUUACACUGAUGCAUUCAACGAGCUUAUAACCUUGGCCGAGAGGCCUGGGCAAUCUUGUUAACGUGCAUCGUGAUAGGGAUAGAUUAUUGAAAUUAUUAAUCUUGAACGAGGAAUUCCUAGUAAACGCAGAUCAUCAAUCUGCAUUGAUUCCGUCCCUGCCCUUUGUACACACCGCCCGUCGCACCUACCGAUUGGAUGGUCCGGUGAAGCCUCGGGAUUGUGGUUCUUGCCGCUUUAUUGUGGCGUGACCGCGAGAACUUGUCUAAACCUUAUCAUCUAGAGGAAGGUGAAGUCGUAACA
rnacentral:rRNA from 1 species